rnacentral:rRNA from 1 species
CACGUAGGGGCCAAGCGUUGUCCGGAUUCAUUGGGCGUAAAGCGUGCGCAGGCGGUUUUGUAAGCCAGAUGUGAAAGCCCCGGGCUUAACCUGGGAAUGGCAUUUGGGACUGCAAGGCUUGAGUGCGGCAGAGGAGACUGGAAUUCCUGGUGUAGCAGUGAAAUGCGUAGAUAUCAGGAGGAAUACCGAUGGCGAAGGCAGGUCUCUGGGCUGACACUGACGCUCAUGCACGAAAGCGUGGGGAGCAAACAGG